rnacentral:rRNA from 1 species
CUUUCUUUGCUGGCGACCGGCGCACGGGUGAGUAACACGUAUCCAACCUGCCCUUUACUCGGGGAUAGCCUUUCGAAAGAAAGAUUAAUACCCGAUAGCAUAAUGAUUCCGCAUGGUUUCAUUAUUAAAGGAUUCCGGUAAAGGAUGGGGAUGCGUUCCAUUAGGCUGUUGGUGAGGUAACGGCCCACCAAGCCUUCGAUGGGUAGGGGUUCUGAGAGGAAGGUCCCCCACAUUGGAACUGAGACACGGUCCAA